rfam:Planctomycetes bacterium GWC2_45_44 gwc2_scaffold_26172, whole genome shotgun sequence.
CCCAGGGCGUUGCCCCGGGCUGAUAUAUUAUGCCCUUUCAGGGCA